CCCGGAACCUAAGCUGGAAGAAGCAUCUGCUGGUCCACUCAUCAAACAUUAUGAUGACAACAGAAUUUUAGAGUUGUUAAAGGCUGUUAAGGAUACAAUAAAAUUCAAAGAAGAGAUUGCCAACCUCAAGGUGCAGCGCAACGCCAAGCCUCAACCCCCCAAAGAAAAGAAACCAGCUUCCAAAAGGCAAAAGGGUGAAGGACAAAACUUAGGGAUUCAAAUUCAUGUGGAAGAUUUGCUCAAGGGCUAUGAGGUUGAUGAGAAUCAGCGGGGCAUUCUCUUGAAAGUAAUAGAAGACGAAGUUGGGUCUAGUGAAAUCAAGCUCAUGGAAAAAUUGAAGAAGAUUGUUGCGAAUCGUUCCUUCUUUAUAUUUUAUGAUGAGAUCAAAAACAGGGCCCAAAUUAAAGACAAAGAAAGAAUACAACAGAUGGAGAAGAAUCUUGUAGUUGAUAUUGAAGAUGUGACGAUUUCAGAGGCUGUAUUUGUUAAGACCUUCAAACCAUAUGGUCGCUUGCAUACUUCGAUCAUUGAAACUCUGAUUCGCAUAUGGAAUAAAUCAUGGGAUGACAGGAUUAUGCUUUCACUUCUUGCUGUAGAGCAAAUACUCGGUAAGAGAAAAGAUUAUCUCGAAAGAGAACUUAAAGACUAUGACAAAGAGAAAAAGCACACGGUUUGUACCU
rnacentral:misc_RNA from 1 species